CCGGAUUUAUUGGGCGUAAAGAGGGCGCUGGCGGCUUUUCAAGUCGGGUGUGAAAUCUCUCGGCUUAACUGAGAGGAGUCAUCCGAUACUGUGAGGCUUGAGAGCAACAGAGGGAGGCGGAAUUCCCGGUGUAGUGGUGAAAUGCGUAGAUAUCGGGAGGAACAUCAGUGGCGAAGGCGAGACUCUGGACGGUUCCUGACACUGACAACACGAAGGCCAGGGGAGCGAACGGGAUUAGAUACCCCGGUAGUCCUGGCAGUAAACGGUGUGCACUUGCUGUAGGAGGAUUCGACCCCUUCUGUGGCGGAGCUAACGCGUUAAGUGCACCGCCUGGGGAGUACGGCCGCAAGGCUAAAACUCAAAGGAAUUGACGGGGGCCCGCACAAGCAGCGGAGCGUGUGGUUUAAUUCGAUGCAAAACGAAGAACCUUACCAAGGCUUGACAUGCUGGAAGUAGUGAACCGAAAGGGGAUCGACCUGUUAAGUCAGGAGCCAGCACAGGUGCUACAUGGCUGUCGUCAGCUCGUGCCGUGAGGUGUUUGGUUAAGUCCUGCAACGAGCGCAACCCCCGUUGCCAGUUACACUCUCUGGCGAGACUGCCCUGCAAAACGGGGAGGAAGGUGGGGAUGACGUCAAGUCAGCACGGCCCUUAUGCCUUGGGCUACACACACGCUACAAUGGGUGGUACAGUAGGUUGCAAUGGAGCGAUCCGGAGCUAAUCCCUAAAGCCAUCCUCAGUUCGGAUUGCAGGCUGAAACUCGCCUGCAUGAAGUCGGAGUUGCUAGUAAACGCGUAUCAGCAUGGCGCGUUGAAUACGUUCUCGGGCCUUGUACACACCGCCCGUCACGUCAUGAAAGUUGGCAACACCUGAAGUCGAUGGGCUAACCCCGACUUGUCGGGGGGGCAGUCGCCGAGGGUGGGGCUGGUGAUUGGGACGAAGUCGUAACAAGGUAGCCGUAGCGGAAGCUGCGGCUG
rnacentral:rRNA from 1 species